UAAUAUUGCUUCAAAUCAAGGAGGGUCACAAGAGGGGCUCUAGAGCCACAGCAGGUGAUGGAUUACAGCGUUCAGUGGAGGAGCUUCAAACGAUACCGUUGAAUUAGCAUACUUCUGAAAAAAAAAUCAGUUCUACAAAUUCUUAUUUGGAAUACUGAAUAGGAGUUUAUCAGUUCACCGCGAUACUGAAUAAUUAACUGAAAACCAUUUUAAUUUCUCGGUGACAAUGCCUACGAAAUUGUACUCUUUUUUCCAUAGCACCUGUAUAAAUCAGAAUGGAUGGUAUUUCAAAAAUGUAUUAACCGACUAGAUUGCUCCCAAUGAUAAAAGAACGCAGACAAAUGUAGGUUACUGUGCUUCUAUUACUUCUAGUCAUGUUCUCAAUUCCCAGCAAGGGAUUGUUUGUGCAACCAAGAAUACCCUCAAUCUCUUGUGAUGGGUUCAUAUUAUUAGAGAUCGAUCAGAGCCUAUCCUAAGUGACCAGCUAGAUACACUCAAUAUAACUGAGGUGAAUAAAAGGUAAAAACCAUGCCCGAAAAGAGCCAAUCUCCUAAAGGUCUCAAAGUAACUUGAUCUGAAAUAAUUGAGAACCCAUUUUUUUCCCUGUUGAGCCUCCUCACAGUGCUAGAGAAAGCAUCUUUACUACUUGUUUAAAACCCUCUUUAUUCUCGGGUUUAGAACCCUCUUUAUUCUCGGUUGUAGAAGCCGAGACUAGUAAAGCGAGACUAAAGAUCGAGAUUUUUAUUAUUGGUUGAAAGAACCGGUACUAAAAAUUAUUAUCAGGUUUAGAACCCUCUUUAUUCUCGGUUGUAGAAGCCGAGACUAGUAAAGCGAGACUAAAGAUCUAGAUUUUUAUUAUUAGUUGAAAGAACCAGUACUAAAGAUUAUUAUUGGUUGAAAGAACCGGUACUAAAGAUGCAUACUAAAGCAAUUUUAUUAUUGGUUGAAAGAACCGGUACUAAAGAUGCAUACUAAAUCAUUUUUAUUAUUGGUUAAAAGAACCGGUACUAUAGAUGCAUACUAAAUCAAAAAUAAUGUGUAGGAUGUAGGACUUGAACUCAAGAUCUCUCACCUAAGCCCUCACACAUGUUACCAUCCCACCUACUACACACAUCUAUCUUGAAUGGACAUGCUUUCUUUUUGAACCAACUUUGUAGACACUAAAAAUAUCUUUAGUCCGUGUUUCAUUUUUAGUACCGGUUGGUAACACUAACCCCGACUAAAGAUCCUCUAUUUUUAGUCUCGGUUGGGGUUACCAACCGGUACUAAAGAUACAAUUUUAGUACCGGUUGGUACACCAACCGAAAACUAAAGAUAUUUUGGGACUUGGACUAUUGGGAAACUAAAGAAAUUGAAAUUUUUAGUACCGGUUCUAAAUCUAACUGAAAUAUUUGUGUUUUGGGUACCACGAUAAAAGAUUGGUUGUCCAGUAGUGUCAGCUAGUGAGCACAUGCAAAAUCAUGCACGAUUGGCCCCAAUUUCCCCCUAUAUAAGACAUAUACACACUCACCAUCUGAGAAAAAUAUAUAGCUUAAAUCAUACAUGUCGUGAAAACCUAUAAACUAUCAUUGGAUUUAAAAAUAGAUGUUUGAGAUUUAUCCACGUCAUCUAAAAUAAUUUUUUAUUACUAGGAAUCUAUUUUGAAUCCAACGAUAGCUUCCAUAUAUAUUAAUUUUCACUGCAUAUGUGGUUUGCACUACAUAUUUUUUCCCCUAUCUGUUCGAAUCAGAUCGAGCAGUGUUGAGCACCUACACACAGGUGGUUGGUCAGCCAGUGAGCACUUGCAAAAUCAUGCAGGAUUAUUGGGCCCCAAUUUCCCCUCUAUAUAAGACAUAUGUACACACACCAUCCAUUCUGAUCGAGCUGUGUCAAACUUGAGAUUCCGAUAGUCAAGUUUGUUGUUGAGUGGUAGUGAUGUUAGUUGCUCGAUCAAGAUCGAUCAGCUAACAUAUAGUAUUGUACACCCACUGUGAUGUCAUCGCUAGCUAAGAUUGGAAGGCAUGGGGAACUGAACCUCACCAUAGAUCUCCACUCCAUCAGCUAACUUCAGAUCGCAUGCUCUCGCCGUCGAUCCUUGUACCUCAAAGAACCGUUGCAAAAGUAGCGAAAUUGUUUGUAACCCCACUCCUUUGUCACUUCCAGCUCGUAUCUUAAGGAAGGGUAGACGACGAUGAUGGUUUCCUGUAGCUGUGGCAUGUUGUGCUGUGGGUCCAUCUGGGAUUGGGAGUAAAAGAUUGUGUAAACUAAUUACUGCUACAUGCGUAACCCCAAUUCUUUGUUACUUCCAGUUGAUUGUGUAAACUUAUUGCUGCUACAUCUGAAAAAUAUAUCCAACUUCAUGAAUCUGCAAAUGGAGUAAUUAACUACAAGCUCCUACAGCAGGGUCUGGGAGUGUAGGAUUGGGAAGCAUCAUGAACAGAGGAUUGACUGCUCGAGAUGGGGUCUUUGGAGAUGGCGGCAUGGCAGGAAAUGUAGGAAGAGGUUGCUGCGCCUUUACCCCGUAGGUAGCUCGAUUCCUACAUUUUGGGCCAUCAUUACCUGCACCUGAACGAAACUAUUACUGCCGUCAUUGUAUCCAGUAUGAAACUGUUUUAUCCAUCUGAUGCCUUCAAUCCUUCUUUUUUCCUUCAUGUACUUCACUGAAAUUGAUCUGGUAGAUUAAACAUGACUUAGGUACUAUAAGAAAGCAGGGCUUCUUAUCAUUAAAAAAAAUGUAUUGAAGUAUAGUACAUUCGUGAUGAUAUAUCUGUUUUGAAGACCUAUGUAUUUCUGUACAAACUUCCAGAACAUUAACAUCUUUGUUAGAUUUUAAAUUAGAUUUAAGUGUUCUUCAGAAGUUCUCUAAAUGUUAGAUUUUUUUUCGAUAAUGGAAGCUUUAUUAAAAACUCAGUCAAAUACACCAAGAUGAUACAUUUCAACUGAGCCCACUCCCGGCCUCUGCAUAAAAUGCACACAGCCACACACAAAGAAAGACCUAUGAAGACCCCUCUCACAAAACAGAAAUAUUAGUGGCUAUCAAUCCGUAGACUAGAUCGCCAACCAUACUCCUGGGUAAAAAUCUCAUGUGCUAGCUGGUCCAAACGUCGCGAUACUACCACAAUAGUAUCCCGAAGACCCGGUUUGUAGAGGAUAACCCAGGUGCGAAGCCACCGGGUGACUAAAGUAAUAACCUGCAAAGGAGAAAACACCAUCUUGUUGUAAAAAAUUACCCCAUUUCUGCAUAGCCAAAUGGACCAACAAAGAGCUGUUGCGUCCAUCAAAACUAGAUUUCUCAUGUCUUUAGGAACACAUGUAAGCCAACGCCCAAACAUAUGAGUCACAUUUUGAGGAGGUUGUAAGUUAUAGGCCAAAUGAAUAACAGACCAAACCAAGCGAGUAAGAUGGCAUUGGAAGAACAAAUGUUGAAUGGUUUCGUCCUUAUGACAGAAUCUAAAUGUUAGAUGGAAAGUCUAAAAUAAAAGGUGAUGAGUGAAUGGUAACAAUUAACAUUAAUGGCCGCAUGCAAUAUAUCAGCUCAUGAUUUAUACAAACUUCAGCAAGUAAACCACAGCAGCAUGAGUCAUAGGAAUAACAUUGUGAUGUUCAUGCAUAUUAGAUUCAGUGAAGUGUACAAACAUGUUUUCAAACUGUUGAAAAUAAUAUGCAGCACUUGCAUUGUACUUGUUGGAACAAAAUCCAACAGGGAAUGAAUUAUAAGAGCUUAGAGCUAGCAGUGGAAAUUUUGUAUAUCGUUAUCCCCUGCGCCCUCACCGGGAACGAAUUAUAAGUCCCAUGAACGUAUGAGAAGUUACAAAGGUGCCUCCUGUCCUCGUUAACAGGUGCUAGAGGCCGAUAGGUGGCCCCAGCCCUUGGGGCCAAAAUGCUAAAAUCCUAGAGGUCCAAAAGGGUUGGUCGAAUUAAUUCCGGCACUCGGGAAAUCUCUUGGAUCCCGGAUGUGACUGGUCAUGCUGAUGCACCACCUGCAUCCGCCCCACCUGCUCUCGCCGCGGAGCGCCUUAGCCAUUUGGUGUGGGCAUUGAAUAUGCAAUGACUGGUCAAGUCUUGUCACCGGUGACGGUCUUUGGAGGCUGCCUCCGGAGGGGUUGCGCUCCACUCCACAAAUCCUAUGGGAUUCAAGUGGAGAUACAUCAGGAGCUUCCUCCGGAGGAGCCUUCCCUUUCUCCCGAAAGCGAAGGGCGAAGCCACUCCCCCAACAGUAUCCACAGCAGCAACCUACCCUUGAACUCUUUCUGAGGACUGUUUAGUCAUGGCCAGAUAAACUUGACAAUGUACUAGCUAGUUCAAGAUUUCCAGAUGGCUUCUUAUCAGUUAGCUGGUUGGAUUUCCUGAUGCAUUCCAAUCUCAAACACAACUGAGAGCAGCCUGUGUUUGCGUGUAUGGUUUUUUUUUUUUUUUUGACAUUGUUUGCAUGUAUGGCUGGCAUGAAGGAAAGGUGCUCUCAUAGGCAACAAAACUCCAUCUCUCACUUUGGACUAACAUGCCAAUUUACUGUGAAAGGUAAGGCAAGAGACAGGACAACUGAUGCUAGCAUUUGUUUAUAUAGUUGUAUGGUACCUCAGCUACUCAUUAUGUUACUUGUGUAAUUGAUUGAUGAAGGAAAUAAUGACUCAGUGUUCCAUUUGUUUUUGAAACAAUAGCUUUGCUAUUCAGUGAAUGAAAGUCUCCAAGCUUUCAGGUUUUUUAAAAGCACUACAGAUAUCAUACAGAGCUCUAGUGUGCAAACUAAUCUAUGCAUAUGGACAUAAUCCACAAAAGUUAUCAAUUUAUCCCCAUAAUGUAGCUUCUGUAUAUGGAGCUAUAACUGUUUCUAUUGAUUUAACCGCACCUUCCAGUCGUAGGUCAUACGUACUGUUCCUGAACAACAAUUAUAUCCAACUAUUAUGAGAUCAGUUUCUUUGUAGUUAGGCCAGAUAGGUGCACAAAGGACUCAACGAGGAUGAUAUUUUUAUCGGUUCGCACCUGUCUCUUACAGCUCAAAAUAUUUGAAAUGGCACAUGUAAAAUGGAUGAGAAACAAUGGCUAUAUCGAACUUUUGAGUAGGGUUGAGAUGCAUCAGGAUGUACCUUCAGACAUGUCUCGCCCAAAAUUCUAGUGCUUGCAAAUUUUCAAAUUUAAUUUUAUUUUGUCAACUCACCCGGUUCUUAAACACAAUAACUACUGAGCUUGCUUUCAGCUAGCUGCAUUUCUGAGACUGACAAAAAACAGAACUGCUGCACCAAUUGGAAAAGCAGGAUUGCAGGACGAUCAUUUGUCUGAAAGAUUCGGCUGACAUUUCAUUGCCUCAGGAAAACUCUAGCUCGUUAGCCCUGAUCAUAGUGAUAGCUCGUUAGGUAUAUCAAAUUAUAAUUAACAAGAAAAAUUGCAACCCGUUUUAUGAAUUAAGGCAGUGCAGAAGCAGUGGAGCUUCUUUGUUGUGGUCAGCCCUGCUUGCUAGCUAUAAGAGCUCAAGAAGGUUGUCAGUGUGGGGCGUCAAACAUACACAUAAUACUCGGAUACAUCAAGGAGUAUGUCAUGCUUCAAUAAAUUUUCUGAUAUUAGUUUUGACAUUACUAAGCUCAAUCUAGCUCCUAGAGAUGGGAGACAUUGGGAUGCUACUUGCUCCAAUGAGUGCACAUCAUGUAGUCCAAAAUCCAAUGACUGCUUACCAUGGAAUCCGAGAACGCAUCACUCCCCAUAUGAAGGCAAUACUUUCCAGAGAGCAGCGACAAGUUCAUCGAAAAAACAGGCAGGUGCAAAUGGGACAAGACAGCUGAACUCAACAAACUGGAGCCUGGAAACUCAAGCAAUCUAGCUUCUUUGAUAGUUGUGACUAUCAACGGGCUCACAAAUUAGGAAUACAUAAACAUGUCAAUGUGAAAUUAAAGUGUGUUUUGAUUAUUAUUUUAUAAUAAACAAUUGGUAUAUAAGAUAAGUUGGUUUUGAUAUUGGGAGAUUAUUGGUGAAGUGAAGAUUUUACUGUUUCUGUGGGACAGGUCAGAUCGAGUGGUAAAAGGCUGGUCAAACCAGUUAACCCGGCCCGAUGGUCUGGCCGGCUAGCUCUGUGUCGGUGUUAGAUUUGGGUUGUUUAUUUAGAUACGCAAUUAUCUUGGGAUCAUGACUUAUAGAUGAUUUCUAUGCGUAUGUAAUACAAUUAUUGUGACAUGCGACGCGACGCGAAGGACGGUCAAACCGACAUUAUCUACACCAGUCAGACUGAAGCAAUCAGACCAAUCUCUAUUGGCUUCGAGGGUAACUUUAGUUCUACUAAAAGUUUUUGGUUUUUGGUAUUCCUACCAUUCGCGCCCCCCUCCCCGGUUUUCCAUUUAUUGGAUUAUGUUUGUAUAUUCCAAUAUCAAAUUACCAUAAACCCAAUAAACUCUAAAAUAUCGAAUUUGAUUUGUCUAUUGGUUUUUUGCGAUCCAUUCGAUUUGGAAAGGCGUUUCUCAACCACUAAUUUAAUAAACAAACAACUAUAAUGACUAAAACGAGUGCCAAGACCCAUCACGGACAGACUUCUUCUUCUUCUUUUACCGAGGGUUAUUGGGUUUUACAUCUGCUUUUGUUACAUAAAGAGACAUCCCUAAAUUAUAGCACUAUAAAUGUGCCCUCUCAACCAUUAGUUGCCUCUAUCGUUUCCUACACCGGGAAACGUUUCAACCUUGGGCUAGUUUAGUUCUCUAAUAGUUACAGUUAUGAAUUUAGGCUUGGAAGGAUUCAGAAAGUCAAAUAUGGCAACGAUAUUCCAAUGUUCGAUCAAGUCGGAUAUGAUAUGCUCAAUUAAUGGUCUAGCCACUUCUCAUAUCUUUAGUGGCACAUUUACUGGCACAUUUGUUUCGUUUUUUCACUGCCAUGUUGUAUAUCUUGAAAAUUAUUGUUGCAUGUCAUGUACUGCUGAUUAUGUCUUAUGUUUCUUGACAUGACAGUUUGAUGACUUCUAUAAAAUCACAAUAACUAUUCAUGUUGAAAUAUUAUCCUAAGAAAAUUAAUUUAA